rnacentral:snoRNA from 1 species
GAGUGGUGAUGUUUUAAACCUAUUCCAUUUCUGAAACUACUGUGGAAAAAAAUAACUGAACUC